rnacentral:rRNA from 1 species
UACGGGGGGAGCAAGCGUUGUUCGGAAUCACUGGGCGUAAAGGGAGUCUAGGCGGUUUGGUAAGUGGGAUGUGAAAUCCCCGGGCUCACCCCGGGACCUGCAUCCCAAACUGCUGAGCUUGAGUACAGGAGAGGGUGGGGGAAUUCCAGGUGUAGCGGUGAAAUGCGUAGAUAUCUGGAGGAACACCGGUGGCGAAGGCGCCCACCUGGCCUGCUACUGACGCUGAAACUCGAAAGCUAGGGGAGCAAACGGG